rnacentral:rRNA from 1 species
UACGUAGGGUGCAAGCGUUAAUCGGAAUUACUGGGCGUAAAGCGUGCGCAGGCGGUUGUGCAAGACAGAUGUGAAAUCCCCGGGCUCAACCUGGGAACUGCAUUUGUGACUGCACGGCUGGAGUGCGGCAGAGGAGGAUGGAAUUCCGCGUGUAGCAGUGAAAUGCGUAGAUAUGCGGAGGAACACCGAUGGCGAAGGCAAUCCCCUGGGCCUGCACUGACGCUCAUGCACGAAAGCGUGGGGAGCAAACAGG